rnacentral:rRNA from 1 species
UUGCACGCUGGCGGCAGGCCUAACACAUGCAAGUCGAGCGGAUGAAGGGAGCUUGCUCCUGGAUUCAGCGGCGGACGGGUGAGUAAUGCCUAGGAAUCUGCCUGGUAGUGGGGGAUAACGUCCGGAAACGGGCGCUAAUACCGCAUACGUCCUGAGGGAGAAAGUGGGGGAUCUUCGGACCUCACGCUAUCAGAUGAGCCUAGGUCGGAUUAGCUAGUUGGUGGGGUAAAGGCCUACCAAGGCGACGAUCCGUAACUGGUCUGAGAGGAUGAUCAGUCACACCGGAACUGAGACACGGUCCAGACUCCUACGGGAGGCAGCAGUGGGGAAUAUUGGACAAUGGGCGAAAGCCUGAUCCAGCCAUGCCGCGUGUGUGAAGAAGGUCUUCGGAUUGUAAAGCACUUUAAGUUGGGAGGAAGGGCAGUAAGUUAAUACCUUGCUGUUUUGACGUUACCAACAGAAUAAGCACCGGCUAACUUCGUG